rnacentral:rRNA from 1 species
AUGCACUGACAUCCACAGAGAUGAGGUUGCGACUUCGGGAGCAGGGACACAGGUGCUGCAUGGCUGUCGUCAGCUCGUGUCGUGAGAUGUUGGGUUAAGUCCCGCAACGAGCGCAACCCUCACCCUUAGUUGCCAGCAUUCAGUUCGGCACUCUAAGGGGAAUGCCGGUUAAUAACCUAGAGGAAGGUGGGGAUCACGUCAAGUCCUCAUGGCCCUUACGGGCUGGGCUACACACGUGCUACAAUGGUGGUGACAGUGAGCAGCGAAGGACC